GGAAAAUCUGCUUUUGCUCUGUCCAUAUCUGAGUUUGGGAUUAUGAUAUUAUCUCUUACUUCAACAGAGGGUGAGUGGCAUCAGAGAUAUUUUUCAUUUGCUUGACUUGUUUAUACAAAUUUUCAUGAGCUUCUCUCUUGGCUGAUGUGAUGUAAACUCCACGAAGACUAGCGUCAUGUUCUUCAGCAGGCAUCUUAGCUUCAUUCUGUCAUGCAUUCAUCUCCUCGAUGACUCUCUGGAAUUUGUCCUCAUCUUCAGUGUUUUCAAGAACAUCUGAUGGCAAUGCUGAAGUCAAGUCCUACUCUUGGGUCUAUCCUGAACAUUGCUUGAUAGUGCAACUGUUUUAUUUUAGAAUGAAAAGCUUAGUUUUUCAUAAACUGACAAAUCAAAGAUUGUUUGGCCAGUUCAUUGUGUUAUCUUGCAUCCAUGAGGCAAGCAUUUUUUCAAUAUCUUGAUUGGCUCGCUCCACUGAUCCCCGACUUAGAUUUUGUGCCUUGAUCUGAGUUAUGAACAAAAUCUAUAUGUAAAUUAUGUUCAUAACUAGUGAUCGGCAAAUGAUACUUUAGUUCGAAC
rnacentral:lncRNA from 1 species